AAACUCUGGUGUCUCCUCGUUUGCGGAUAAAUCUUUCACCUUUUACUAAAGAUUUCCGUGGGGAGGCACAAUACAAUGAGUCUUACCUCAUUUUUUUCAGAUGUCUUCGGACGGAG
rnacentral:snRNA from 1 species